UAGCCCUAUAUUGGACAAUGUUGAAGAAUACCUCCAAGAGAUGUAGAAGAAUUUUGCAGUAGGACCUAAGCAUCAAAGGAAUUUGGAAAAUUGCAUUGGACUGACUUAAUUUCAGCAAUAUUCAGGAUCCCAGUGGCCAAAGUUAUGUGGUCGAUCAUGAGCAUUAGCCAGUGUCCAAGUAUAGACACAGAAUUCAAGAAUUGCAACGGAUCUCAGAAGCCAUGUAGUCAAAUCUGUACUCCAGAGGAAUCUCCACUAUAACAUAUCUACGAAGGGGUCAUUCAGCCCUGCUUGAAGGCCUCCGAGGAGGAGGA